rnacentral:rRNA from 1 species
GACGAACGCUGGCGGCGUGCUUAACACAUGCAAGUCGAACGGAAAUACCCUGGUUUGCUGGGGUGGACGAGUGGCGAACGGGUGAGUAACACGUGAGUAACCUGCCCUUGACUUUGGGAUAACCGCUGGAAACGGCGGCUAAUACCGGAUACGAACUUGGCCUGCAUGGGGGUGGUUUGAAAGGUUCGUCGGUUUGGGAUGGACUCGCGGCUUAUCAGCUUGUUGGUGAGGUAGUGGCUUACCAAGGCGAUGACGGGUAGCCGGCCUGAGAGGGCGACCGGCACCAUUACUACGGAGAGGCGCAGCCGCCUACGGGAGGCAGCAGUAGGGAAGAUUAUAGAACAAUCGAAAGACGGAUGCAGCGGCACCGCGGCGGGGAUGACGGCGGUCUGGGGGUAAUAAUCUGUUUUCGCGUGUGAAGCGAGAGUGACGGUACCUGCUGAAGAAGCACCGGCUAACUACGUG